rnacentral:rRNA from 1 species
AUACGGAGGAUGCGAGCGUUAUCCGGAUUUAUUGGGUUUAAAGGGAGCGUAGGUGGGAUAUUAAGUCAGCUGUGAAAGUUUGGGGCUCAACCUUAAAAUUGCAGUUGAUACUGGUUUCCUUGAGUACGGUACAGGUGGGCGGAAUUCGUGGUGUAGCGGUGAAAUGCUUAGAUAUCACGAAGAACUCCGAUCGCGAAGGCAGCUCACCGGGCCGGAACUGACACUGAUGCUCGAAAGUGCUGGUAUCAAACAGGAUUAGAUACCCUGGUAGUCCGCACAGUAAACGAUGAAUACUCGCUGUUUGCGAUACACGGUAAGCGGCCAAGCGAAAGCGUUAAGUAUUCCACCUGGGGAGUACGCCGGCAACGGUGAAACUCAAAUGAAUUGACGGGG